CUGGCAUAUUUUUUACUCUUAUACUGGACCAGAAAACUGUUUUUAAAAGCAGACCAGAUGUACUUUUAAAGGAAUACGUGCAGUCCGUGUUCGGAUAUGCAAUGGAACCUCAUCAGUCUGGAUGUAUAUGAACUCAUCUGGAACAAUCCAGAUCCUCCUCUGAGCUGUAAAUAUAAUUGCAUACAUCAGUUAUGCUCCAGUCUUUUAAAGUUGCAAAUGUGCGCGUUUUGUCCAGAUGCUGACAUCUUUUCAGCAGCCCUCCUCAGCCUGCUCAACUGCCAGCCUCCUCACGAAGUUCACUGGAGUCCAGGUCUCAUUAAGAAUGCUGCCUCUGAUCAUUUGAUUCCAGGAGAGUUCUCUGAACAUAACCCAGAACGGUACACCCGCCCGGGAGCUAGAGCGCGAGCAAUUCGUGGCGGCUAGAAGGGACCAAGCUGACAGCUUUGCGGAGCGUUUGCGGCGGGCGUGGGACCGGGACAGGCGACCGCCAUGGCUUAGCGGGUGAGGUCUGGACCCACCAAGGCUCCUUUGCAAGAUGCUGUCUGCUGCGGCAGCCUCCCUACACAGGGGAGGGUGCGUGAACGCGCGCGCGCACACAGACCGCGCACACACGCAUCCUUUCCCUGGACUUGUGCCUCGUCUCCCUUUUGUUUUUCUC